rnacentral:rRNA from 1 species
ACGAACGCUGGCGGCAUGCCUAACACCUGCAAGUCGAACGAGACCUUCGGGUCUAGUGGCGCACGGUUGCGUAACGCGUGGGAACCUGCCCUUAGGUUCGGAAUAACUCCCCGAAAGGGGUGCUAAUACCGGCUAAUGUCUUCGGACCAAAGAUUUAUCGCCUUUGGAUGGGCCCGCGUUGGAUUAGCUCGUUGGUAGGGUAAAAGCCUACCAAGGCGACGAUCCAUAGCUGGUCUGAGAGGAUGAUCAGCCACACUGGGACUGAGACACGGCCCAGACUCCUACGGGAGGCAGCAGUGGGGAAUAUUGGACAAUGGGCGAAAGCCUGAUCCAGCAAUGCCGCGUGAGUGAUGAAGGCCUUAGGGUUGUAAAGCUCUUUUACCCGGGAUGAUAAUGACAGUACCGGGAGAAUAAGCUCCGGCUAACUCCGUG